rnacentral:rRNA from 1 species
GAUCAUGGCUCAGGAUGAACGCUAGCUACAGGCUUAACACAUGCAAGUCGAGGGGCAGCAUGGUCUUAGCUUGCUAAGACUGAUGGCGACCGGCGCACGGGUGAGUAACACGUAUCCAACCUGCCGUCUACUCUUGGACAGCCCUCUGAAAGGAAGAUUAAUACAAGAUGGCAUCAUGAGUCCGCAUGUUCACAUGAUUAAAGGUAUUCCGGGUAGACGAG